CUCCGGGCCGCUGCAGUGAGGAAUAUUGCACAAUGGGGGGAACCCUGAUGCAGCAACGCCGCGUGGGGGAUGACGCAUUUCGGUGUGUAAACUCCUUUUAUAUGUCAAGAAAAUGACGGUAGCAUAUGAAUAAGCACCGGCUAACUCCGUGCCAGCAGCCGCGGUAAUACGGAGGGUGCAAGCGUUACUCGGAAUCACUGGGCGUAAAGGACGCGUAGGCGGGUUGGAAAGUCAGGUGUGAAAUCCUACAGCUUAACUGUAGAACUGCACUUGAAACUUCUAAUCUAGAGUAUGGGAGGGGGAGACGGAAUUAGUGGUGUAGGGGUAAAAUCCGUAGAUAUCACUAGGAGUACCUAAAGCGAAGGCGAUCUCCUGGAACAUUACUGACGCUAAGGCGUGAAAGCGUGGGGAGCAAACAGGAUUAGAUACCCUAGUAGUC
rnacentral:rRNA from 1 species